GUUAUAUAAAUAUUUAUUUGUACUAAAAGUGAGUGUUUUGUAGCAGAGUAUCAAGUUCAGAAUAUAUUAAAUCAUGAGAUGCAUCACUUGAUGCAAAUUCCAGUCUCAUGCCUUUAAUAAAUAUGCUAUAAAAAAAACUAGUCCACAUACUCUAUUUGGAUCAGAGGUAAUCAGUACUCUACACUAUUUUAAAAGGAUAAUAUAACAUUUGUGUUUUGCUGUAACCAUUCGGAUUUGGGGGGGGGGUUUAACCGUUUGAUUAUUUUAUGAUGAGUGGCAACAGCACUAUGUCACUACUUAAAAAUGACAAAUAUUGCAAUCAUAAAUGGGAGUAUUGCUUUUGUCUUCCAGGUCCCUGCCAGAGGGCCUGAGUGUAAAAGGCACUGGUGCUAGUGUGUGCUUUCAGCUACUAACAUGAGUGUUGCAGCAUUUUUCUUGAGGUAUAAUACAGGUUUGGGCUCUUUGCUCCCAAUACUUUAAAAAAUUAUGAAAAAAUAACUCCAAAAGAGUUGACAAAUGAAAAAAGGUUUUUUGCAAAAGUAUUCCCAAUUACAUAGUCUUGGACACUGUACCAUGGCCACAGCAAAACAGGUUUUAGCUUGCAGCGUAGCUCACUAUCCUAAGUUACAAGCAGAAGCAUGAUUGUUCUUACUGAGUGUAGCUCCAUUUGUAAUUAAAACUGAAGUACAAGAAAAGGAAAGCGCUAUUUCCAUGUCAUUUGAAACACAUUCUGACUGGUCCUGGGGCAUCUACCAAGAAAAGAUGGGUACAAGAAGUAUCCAUUCAGUUUGCUGCAGUAACCAAGUGCAUAGCUGUCUUUCCCCAAGUAAAAACCUCACACCUGAGUGUGGCGGCUGGGGAGCCAGCAUGCUCCUUGCUGCCAGCACAGCGGGGCUGCAGGAUCAGCCCUUUCCCUGGGAAAGCCAGUGCAGGCAGGACACUGAGGCCCAGGCAGGGGCAGGAGGUGGCUGAGGGGCUCCCAGCCAUGCAGGGCUUUGUGCUCGAACCUCAGCCACCACGGAGACACACACCAGUCCCAGCAGCACGUGCCUGCGGUGAGACACAAGUGGGGCCAGGUAAAGCUCCGGUGUGCAGUCACGCCACUCAGCCCUGCUGGAGGUCACUGCAAGUGCUGCAGGUCAGCAAAAAAGCCAACACAGCAGCAAAACCAGUGUCAGAGGGGGUGGCUGGGAAAAAAGGUAAGGGCUGCUGUAACUUUCCACCAGCUAGAGCUGGGAGCAGCACCAGCCACUGGCGCUCUCUCUGUGUGAGAGAUGAUGGCUCAGCACCAUCACCCCUCACACAGCAGCACCCCAUGCAGAUGGGGGUGGAUCGUAAGGACUUCUCUCCAUCCUCCGCCAUCCCCCCACCAGAGCCAGCAUCAGCAGCCCACAGGUACAAACGAAAUCAGGUCACCUGUACCCAUGUGGGAUUACGGGUACAGAUGAAGGCAAGUGCUUGAGCCAUCUCCUGCCUGGUUUAAGAAGUACAGCCUCUUGGACCCACCUCACACUGUGAUCUUGCUGUUUUGCCUUUAAUUUGCCUUUCAGAUG
ensembl:lncRNA